GUGCUCCCUCCCGCAGCGUACAUACUAAAAUUGGAAAGAUACAGAGAUGAGCAUGGCCCCUGUACAAGGAUGACAGGCAAAUUCAUGAAGGGUUCCUUAUUUUA
rnacentral:snRNA from 1 species